rnacentral:lncRNA from 1 species
UAAUCUUCUCCUUCGAAACUCUCGAAUCAAAAAGAAAGAAAGAACACUCUCUACUUUUAUGGUCCUAGUGGUGUAUCCACCGCAUCAAAGCACCAAAACUGUGGAUCCUGGGAAGAAACUUUCACCUGUUCCAGAGAUUUAAUACUCUUCCAGCCGAGUAAUCGUCUUCCAGCUCAAGAGAAAUCUCUUGACAGGUGCUGCAAGAAGACAAAAGAAAACGAUGUGUCACACUAUAGUCUUUGCAGGCCGUCACAAUCUAUGCUAGCUCCACGCUGUUCCGAAGUUUUCCAAGAGCUCGAGAUAUUUGGCUGGGCGAUAAGGAAAUCUUCGGGGAGUUAAGUUUGCGUUGCUUUGCUGGUUGGAUUUGGUCGCUUCGAUUUUGGGAAUUCACAGAAGGAAAACAUUACAUAACUUAAAGUAAGCAAAAACUCAAAGAUGUUUCCAGUGAAGAACUUCCUUGUCGCAAGUUCUCUCAUCCGUCGUGGACGCUUCCAUUUGCGUGUGUAGCUCUCUCCAUAGAAAGUUCAGCGGUACGGCAGAGCACUGAAAUUAUGUUAAGUGACGGCGUCUCUCUUGUUUUCUGCUGCACUGUAGCUUUGCAGCUGCUGAUCCAUUCCCUGCAUAUGUCCUGGCCAGUCUUGAUAAUCCUCCGUGACUUGUUGAAAACCAAACAUGCGUUCUUCUUCGAGUGACAGUAAACCAGGAUUUGGCUGCUCGACUUCUAAUUCUUCGUCUUGCUCGACAAUCCUUACAUCAUCCAUGGCGGCGAUGCAAUGAAAAGAAGGACCAUCUCUUCCGAGCUCUAGAUCAAAGUAGCCAUGAGAUUCCAGAAAUCAUCACCUAGGAAACAAAGCCACGUUGAGUUCAUUGUGGAGAUUCAAAUACAAAAACCUGGACUUACUUCACAGCAAUAUGCUUGAAGCCGUACUUAAUCCAAAUAACAUCAAACUAUUCCCAGAGUGCUGCUUGCCUGUAGAGACGUUCACAAUGCUGUGAGCUUCUUAAUUUCUAUUCAAGUUGUUAAAAUAUUUAAUAUCCUAAGCAUAAUAUAGUUGUUAUAAUUUUUUUUAUAAUAAAAGAAAAACCUACAUUUAAUUAACGUUAUCAACUCAGUAAAGGAGAAGGGAUUUAGUGUUUGGUCAACUCUACUCUCUCCCCUCUAAAGUCAGAAGUUUUGGCUAUGGCGCUGGAGUCUUCCAAGAUCACAGUGACCAACAUUUGCUUGGUUUCUCCAAGUUACAGCCCGGAGAAUGUCGAUCUCUUGGAGAGGAAGAAGCAAAUGCGUCUCUGUGCUGCAUCUCAUAUGAUUUGGUUCGUGCCUUACAGGACUCGCCUUCUCUUCUUCCGAAAGCCUCCUCCCCAUCUCUCCUUCGAGGCCAUUGUAGCAAAUCUCAAGAGUUCUCUUGCCAAGGCGCUGGUGGAGUUUUAUCCCCUGGCAGGGAGAUUGCUAGUGAGUGACAGCGAGAAUGGACUGCGGAUGGAUGUGGUUUGCAAUGACAAAGGCGUGCUCUUCAUCGAAGCCAGUGCUACUGGAGUUACUGUUGAGGAGCUCGCAAAGGAUGAAGUGAGUGGUCAUUUCGAGGGGAUUCCAGCAAAACUAGUGGAAGAUCUGGCACAAUGUGGAGACUACGAUAUAUCGACAAUUCCAUGGUCCUUCGAUGCUCCUCUGUUCAUCAUCCAGGUACUUCAAUAUAUAUUCGCAUUGAUAAUCAAGUCGAAUCGAAUGUAGGUGACAGAGCUUUCUUGUGGAGGCAUUUGCAUCUCCGUCAAGUUCAAUCACCAGCUUUUAGAUGGAGCUGGGACCUGGAACUUUGUCAAGUCAUUGGCCGAGGUCUGUUGUGGUAAAUCUAUGUCACUCAAGCCCGUGGUCGUGGAAACUCCACCAUGCAUUGCAGUCUCGGACGAUCAUCCCACAGAUUUUGAGCUUCCAGCAGGGUUUGGAAGGGCCUGCAACGCGGAUUUACUGAAAUUAAGCACCAAGUCAACAUCGCAGUCCGCGGAGUAUGACAUGAAGUGCUUUGCAUUCAAGAAGGAGAUGAUCCAAAAGAUGAAGCUCGAGAAUCCAGGGUUCAGCUCGUUCCAGCUUCUCACGAGUUUCAUAUGGUCCAGAGUUAACGCUGCGAGAGAUCUCAAGGAUGACGAAACCACUACUCUUGUGUUUGCAGCAAACUGUAGAGGACGGAUCAAGACUGUGCCGAAGGGAUUCGUAGGAAUGGCCGUGGUGUAUGAUCACGUUUCCACCAAAGUCUCGAGCCUACGAGCUCAGGGAAAUGAGCUGAGAAAUGGGGCGGAUCUUCUCAAGAAAAAGAUCGGUGAUUUGCUCACGGAGGAAGGCGCGGGUCUCUACUCAAAGGCUGUGAGCAGUGGCGACAGGGGCUUCACAGCUUUUCCUCAAUCUAAGAUGGAAACAGCAUUGAUCGUUGGAAGUUCGUUCUACUUCCCGGUUUUCGAGGACUUUGGAUUUGGAAAGCCGGUUGGAAUGACGCUGGUUCGUCCUUCUGAUGAUAGCAAGCUAUACUAUUUCCCAGGGAAGGAGGAAGGUGAUGUGGUAGCUUAUAUUGGGCUCACAAGUCACGCGAUGAGAAAGCUUAGUUUUCCACAGGUUUGAAACAAUAUAAAGUUGUCUCUUUGCCCUUCACCGCGGGACGGCAUGGAGAUCGAGGCGAGGAUCUUCGAGACAGAUGUUUCUGAUGGUACUGUGAUUGUUGACAUGCACGGAAGCUCCAGAUAAUGGGUCGGGCCAUCUUGGCUUUUGGCUGGAUCAAGGAAUGUUGUCUCCUUGACUGCUAUGUUCUCAGAAUUUGCCGGAAUGGGCAUUACAGAGACGCUCUCUCGAGCUCUGGAGCUCCUCCAUGGAUUUGGAGGGAGUCAAGUCAAAUGGCUUGCCAUUUUUUUUUUUCCUGGAAGCCUGCGCCGGUCCCGGGAAUAGAAUCUGCUGUAAAAUUUUCCACUCCCGAAAUCGAGGGAAUGGAGCUUAUGCGCUGGGGAAAUGCGGUCACGUUGCGCGAUGAUGGCGGCGUAUGCCCAAAACGGACAGCACAGGGAAGCGCUCCGAGUCUUUAGCGAGCUCGACACGAUGCUGGAUCGCGAGCGUCUUGGAGGCGUCCUCAAGUUUGGCCAGGCUAGAAUCUCGGAUCCUUGCUAGUGGAAUUCGCGUGAGCGUGAUCGUGGUCGUCAUCACUUACAGAAAGUGUGGAGCUCUCAGCCUCGCGAGAUCCACGUUCAAUGGCCUGUGCUGGAACACGAUGAUCUCCGCCAACUUGCAGCACAGCAACGCCAGGAAGUGCUCAAGCUCUUCAACGAGCUCAAACAAGCCGGGACUUUGAGCGAGCACUUGGGGGGCUGCAUGAUCGAUCUGCUGGGACGAGCUGGGGGAUUUGAAGAGGCUGAGAGAGUGGUUGCUCCAUGAAACGCAAUGUCCCCUCCUGAUCAUGAAUGUCGUCUCUCAAUCACCAAGUCCUGGAUAAAACCAGGGCAUGGCAUUUCGUAGUUCGAUAUAAGCUGCGGCAAAUCCCCGUCACUUGUGGUCGUGGAAACUCCCCUGGACAACGAGCAGAGCUGGAGAUUUAGCUCCCGCCGAUUUUUCAUGCGGUGGAAGAUUAGAACUUGUUCACACUAUCAACGCUAUGAAAAGCUUCUCGUUUGCUUCUCGUUUGCCCAGGAGUGAGAUUCCACGGCAAAGAGAUGGAAGACCCCGUUCUUCUCAGUCAAGUGCUGUGAAAGCUCUCCAACGCUGGAAACUAUGACUCUCAGUUGGAGAUGUACGCCUUCUCAUGACAUGAGAAGGAGUUGCCACCUCAUAGAUCCACGUUGGCUGGAGUUGAGUAGAUCAGAGCCACAUUGUCCACACGACGCUUCCGCUGUGUUUUGACACUCUCGAGACUGUCAUGUUCAGGACGGCCUCCAUGGACAUGCAAGCCACCUCUAUAUGAGCCAUGACUACAGCGCUCUAGGCUCGCCUCUGUCCCACCGUCAUAGGUCUUCUAGAUCCUUUUGGGUAUGUCCUUGAGAGCGUUCCUGGCUGAAAGAUCCAGCUCUCUCUCCUCGCCACCCAGGCACUGGCGAUAGCUUCGAAGGUAGUAAACGCAGCUGCGAUUGCAAGAGCAGUCAUCGUCACCGAAGCAGUAGUGGACACUCUCCUCUCGAGGUGCUGUUUGGACUGAGAAAAUGAGGAAGAUCGCCAUCGAGAUCUUCAUCUUCGCCAUUCCUGGUGGAAACCUUAAGCGAGAGCACGAAACUCUCGAAGUUCACACUGCCUGGUCCUUAGAAACUCUCGAAUCGAAAUGAAAGAACAAACACUCUUUACUUUUAUGGUGUAUCCACCACAUCCAAGCACCGAGAACCUUUCACGUGUCCCAGCGAUUCACUACUCUUCCAGCAGUGUAAUCGUCUUCCAGCUCAAGCAGACACAUGACAGGUGCUGCAAGAAGACAAAAGAAAACGAUGUGUCACACUAUAAUCUUCUAUGCUAGCUCCACGUUGUUCCUGAGUGCCUCCGAUAAGUUUGCGAUGGAUAGAGCACCGUAGCUCUGCUGCUGCUAAUCCAUUCCCUGCAUAUUUGGAGGCAGGUUCGAAAAGAGAAGAUAAGCUGAAGCUUGAGAUUGCUAACCACUAGCCCCACUUAUUGCAUUAAGUUGCAAUAAAAUGGCUUCAAUUGAUAUUUGUAACUAAAUUUAAGACACAAUAGUUUUAUAUUAGAAAAUUAUAAAUUCUUAUUUACGUAAUUUAUAAUAGUUAUAAACAAAAAUUUUUUUUUGUAGUUUUGACCAGAAAAUAUGUAAUUGUUAUGUUUAGUUCUUAUUUAUGACUCCAAAAAACAAAGUUAUAAACAUAGUGGUAAAGAUGGGAAUUUAAGUCAUUAUUUAUGAUGAUAUUUAAAAAUAAAUAGUUUUCUAUUCUAAUUUAUUGCCAAUCUUUGAUUUUGGAGUUACAUUUUUUCCUAUUUUAGAAGCUUAAAGGUGCUCUUGAUAAAUAUUAUCUAGGUUGUGGUGAAUGAAUGUAAGUAUAUUUUAUUUAUGUCAGUUUGAUUACUUUAUAUUAUUUGUUGUUUCAUAUUUGCUAGCUUUUCUUAUAAGAGAAUGCAUACAAUCACCCACAGCAAUGGAAUUUACGAGGAACUCAUCAAUAUUCAGGAUUUCUUUUAUAAAACGUUCAUGGUAAUGGAUUUAAAUGAAAAUUUUCCUUUAGUUUAUCUCAUUUGUCAUUACUCUAUGUUAUAAAAAAUGGAUACAACCACCUUCUUUAUUUUCUUAAGCCAAGCCCAAUCUUUAACCCAUUUAGGGUAUAAUACUCUUAAUGCUUUUCGCAACUCUAAGUUUUCCUCCAAGAAAAAUUUAUAAGAUAGGUAAAACCCUAAAAUCACCAGGGAGAAAACUAAAGGCGUAGGAUAUACUCUACAUUUAAUUAAUGUUUUGGUUACCAACUUUGUCCUUCCAUUCGUCUUGAAAAUACUUGAUAAAAGGUACUUCAUUUUGAAAAUCCACCUCAAAAUGUUCAAUAAGUUGUUUAAUCUCAACUCACAUAAUAUUAUCAUCAUGAAAAGUUGCAUGAAUUGAAUGAUACAUAAUAUUUCCAAAACGUUUCCAUAUUUCCAUCUUAAUAUCCCAAGAUUUCACUUUACGAAUAAUAUAUUUGAGCCAAUUCCUUCUUACAUGCCAAAUACAUAAUAGAAUUUGACAAUCAAAUGUAGCUCUAUAUAGAGGAAAACAAUUAAAUUAUUUCAUAUCAAAUUAAUUACCUUAUAACAUUAAUCUUUGUUUCAGCAUCAUCAAUCAUUAUUGCCCGUAGUUUCCAAUUUGGCAUAUGUUCUCAAACUUAUUUUUUAAAAGUUAUUAUCCAAUUCUUCAUAUGUUCUCCUUUCUCACUAGAAGUUAAAACCCAUGCAAUUGGAAUACCAUUUCUAUGAUAAUCAAAAGUAAGCAUGGUGUAUAAUGGGAACUAUAAAUUAUUAAGUAUUAAUCACUUAAAACUGAAUGAAAAUUUUACCUUGUAGCGAUUAAUUCCAAAAGUUGCGUCAAGACUCAAUAGAUUAUUAUUUGAAAAGUCCACCAUCUUUUGUAGUUGCCAAGUUGUUUGGAUCCCAAUAAUAAAACAAUCUUUACCUCGAUCACCUCUUGAUAGAAAAAUACUUUCUCAGGAUUUGUGUUCUUCCAAAUAUGUACACUCUAUGCGUCAUUCUUAUGUAAUCGAUAAGUUGAAAGUGAAUACUUCCUAUGCAAAUUGUUGAUAUCCUGCAUAGUUAGAAAAUCAUCUCGAUGAGAAGGUUCACCAGCUAACUUGUUCCUUUCCACAAUCUGUAUAUGCUCAUUAUAAAUCUGAUUUGCUAUGAAAUCCUGCUAAAUCAUAUGAAUCACCCAAUGUCAAAUAUCUGUUGAAAGCUUUUGAGGAAAUAAUGACUUUCCUCCAGUCAGAUCAAGUUGACCAUGACAAGGAACCCCAUUUUUAUCACAAUGCUCUCUAUGAUAAUAUAUAAUCUGCACAUAAUCAAGCCAUUUGUAAAACUGUUUGACCAAAAAAUUGCAAAGGCAGCCCCGCUUAUUAGAACUUUGACUUGGUCUACUUCCAAGUCCUGACUUUGGUGUAGAUUUAGCAAUCAUAAUAGAGGAUGUUUCACGAGCAUCUUGUUUUCCAUAUUCACACCAAUACCUGUAUCAAGAAGUUAGUAAUUAUAUUUUGUUAAAAAAAUAUACCUAAUUAAUGAUAAAAAGUUUGUAUUUUUGGGUUAUUUCAAAUCUUUAGGAUCACGAUUUUUGUUAGAAAAUUGCCAAAAAUCCAUUCCAUCACCCCUUCUCCUCUCACCAUCGAGAAACUUGUUCACAUCCUUUUGUAAUAUAUACACUAUAGUUUCAUUUGAUUUAGACAAAUUCCAAUCUAAAUCAUCUGCACAAAAAUAAUCCCUUUCAUGGAAUUUUUGCACCUCAUCAAGCCAUGGGGGAUUUUAAAUGAUUUUCUUGAAUCAAUAUGAAAUUAAAUUGAUUGCUUACCUUUGGAAAUUGCUGUGCUGCUGCCAUGCUUGAUCAUAAAAGAAACAGAAACGUUUUUAGGUCAAUUAUGGAGCAACCAUCCGGCGUGAAUGGGUGGACCAGGGCGCGCUAAUUGAAAUUUGGCUUGGGGCUGUGGCCACGUGGAAGUAAUUUUAGGGCGCACGCUGGGCGCGGGCGGACGUGCGGGGGCGGGUGGGAGUGCGGGCGGGAGCCGUGAGGGCGAGCGGGCGGGCGGGAGCCGCGGGCGGGAGUGUGCAGCGGCGACGGACGGGAGAGGGAGUGCGCUGGAGAUAAAACAAAAAAGAGGGCUGAUGCCACGUCAUCGCCAGGUAAGCGGAGAGAGAGAGAGUGAAUCAGGAUGGUGUUUAACGGGAGGCUGAUUUGGUUCGUGCCUUACAGGACUCGCCUUCUCUUCUUCCGAAAGCCUCCUCCCCAUCUCUCCUUCGAGGCCAUUGUAGCAAAUCUCAAGAGUUCUCUUGCCAAGGCGCUGGUGGAGUUUUAUCCCCUGGCAGGGAGAUUGCUUGUGAGUGACAGCGAGAAUGGACUGCGGAUGGAUGUGGUUUGCAAUGACAAAGGCGUGCUCUUCAUUGAAGCUAGUGCUACUGGAGUUACUGUUGAGGAGCUCGCAAAGGAUGAAGUGAGUGGUCAUUUCGAGGGGAUUCCAGCAAAACUAGUGGAAGAUCUGGCACAAUGUGGAGACUACGAUAUAUCGACAAUUCCAUGGUCCUUCGAUGCUCCUCUGUUCAUCAUCCAGGUACUUCAAUAUAUAUCCGCAUUGAUAAUCAAGUCGAAUCGUAUGUAGGUGACAGAGCUUUCUUGUGGAGGCAUUUGCAUCUCCGUCAAGUUCAAUCACCAGCUUUUAGAUGGAGCUGGGACCUGGAACUUUGUCAAGUCAUGGGCCGAGGUCUGUUGUGGUAAAUCUAUGUCACUCAAGCCCGUGGUCGUGGAAACUCCACCAUGCAUUGCAGUCUCGGACGAUCAUCCCACAGAUUUUGAGCUUCCAGCAGGGUUUGGAAGGGCCUGCAACGCGGAUUUACUGAAAUUAAGCACCAAGUCAACAUCGCAGUCCGCGGAGUAUGACAUGAAGUGCUUUGCAUUCAAGAAGGAGAUGAUCCAAAAGAUGAAGCUCGAGAAUCCAGGGUUCAGCUCGUUCCAGCUUCUCACGAGUUUCAUAUGGUCCAGAGUUAACGCUGCGAGAGAUCUCAAGGAUGACGAAACCACUACUCUUGUGUUUGCAGCAAACUGUAGAGGACGGAUCAAGACUGUGCCGAAGGGAUUCGUAGGAAUGGCCGUGGUGUAUGAUCACGUUUCCACCAAAGUCUCGAGCCUACGAGCUCAGGGAAAUGAGCUGAGAAAUGGGGCGGAUCUUCUCAAGAAAAAGAUCGGUGAUUUGCUCACGGAGGAAGGCGCGGGUCUCUACUCAAAGGCUGUGAGCAGUGGCGACAGGGGCUUCACAGCUUUUCCUCAAUCUAAGAUGGAAACAGCAUUGAUCGUUGGAAGUUCGUUCUACUUCCCGGUUUUCGAGGACUUUGGAUUUGGAAAGCCGGUUGGAAUGACGCUGGUUCGUCCUUCUGAUGAUAGCAAGCUAUACUAUUUCCCAGGGAAGGAGGAAGGUGAUGUGGUAGCUUAUAUUGGGCUCACAAGUCACGCGAUGAGAAAGCUUAGUUUUCCACAGGUUUGAAACAAUAUAAAGUUGUCUCUUUGCCCUUCACCGCGGGACGGCAUGGAGAUCGAGGCGAGGAUCUUCGAGACAGAUGUUUCUGAUGGUACUGUGAUUGUUGACAUGCACGGGAAGCUCCAGAUAAUGGGUCGGGCCAUCUCGGCUUUUGGCUGGAUCAAGGAAUGUUGUCUCCUUGACUGCUAUGUUCUCAGAAUUUGCCCGGAAUGGGCAUUACAGAGACGCUCUCUCGAGCUCUCGAGCUCCUCCAUGGAUUUGGAGGGAGUCAAGCCAAAUGGCUUGCCAUUUUUUUUUUCCCUGGAAGCCUGCGCCGGUCCCGGGAAUAGAAUCUGCUGUAAAAUUUUCCACUCCCGAAAUCGAGGGAAUGGAGCUUAUGCGCUGGGGAAAUGCGGUCACGUUGCGCGAUGAUGGCGGCGUAUGCCCAAAACGGACAGCACAGGGAAGCGCUCCGAGUCUUUAGCGAGCUCGACACGAUGCUGGAUCGCGAGCGUCUUGAAGGCGUCCUCAAGUUUGGCCAUGGCUAGAAUCUCGGAUCCUUGCUAGUGGAAUUCGCGUGAGCGUGAUCGUGGUCGUCAUCACUUACAGAAAGUGUGGAGCUCUCAGCCUCGCGAGAUCCACGUUCAAUGGCCUGUGCUGGAACACGAUGAUCUCCGCCAACUUGCAGCACAGCAACGCCAGGAAGUGCUCAAGCUCUUCAACGAGCUCAAACAAGCCGGGACUUUGAGCGAGCACUUGGGGGGCUGCAUGAUCGAUCUGCUGGGACGAGCUGGGGGAUUUGAAGAGGCUGAGAGAGUGGUUGCUCCAUGAAACGCAAUGUCCCCUCCUGAUCAUGAAUGUCGUCUCUCAAUCACCAAGUCCUGGAUAAAACCAGGGCAUGGCAUUUCGUAGUUCGAUAUAAGCUGCGGCAAAUCCCCGUCACUUGUGGUCGUGGAAACUCCCCUGGACAACGAGCAGAGCUGGAGAUUUAGCUCCCGCCGAUUUUUCAUGCGGUGGAAGAUUAGAACUUGUUCACACUAUCAACGCCAUGAAAAGCUUCUCGUUUGCUUCUCGUUUGCCCAGGAGUGAGAUUCCACGGCAAAGAGAUGGAAGACCCCGUUCUUCUCAGUCAAGUGCUGUGAAAGCUCUCCAACGCUGGAAACUAUGACUCUCAGUUGGAGAUGUACGCUUUCUCAUGACAUGAGAAGGAGUUGCCACCUCAUAGAUCCACGUUGGCUGGAGUUGAGUAGAUCAGAGCCACAUUGUCCACGCUAUGUUUUGACACUCUUGAGACUGUCAUGUUCAGGACGGCCUCCAUGGACAUGCAAGCCACCUCUAUAUGAGCCAUGACUACAGCGCUCUAGGCUCGCCUCUGUCCCACCGUCAUAGAUUUUGUUUUAGUGCAGACAGGGUGUGACUGGCGGAGUCUUCUAGAUCCUUUUGGGUAUGUCCUUGAGAGCGUUCCUGGCUGAAAGAUCCAGCUCUCUCUCCUCGCCACCAAGGCACUGGCGAUAGCUUCGAAGGUAGUAAACGCAGCUGCGAUUGCAAGAGCAUGUAGGAAUAAUGAUGAACACGACAAGUAAAACGAUUCAUAUCAGAAGCAGUCCGAAUUGUGAUCAGAUCUCUGGUGAUUUCCGAUUUGAUUGAAGUUGUAUAUAUAUACAGCCAUAUAUGAAUCAAUGGGUGGGUUGAAGUGAAAUCCAUUCUUCUUGCUCCGCUUUUCUUUCAUGGUAUCAGAGCUCAGUUUCUGAACUCUUUCUUCUCCUUUCUUUGUGCCUCACAUCAUGAGCUGCAGCAAAGUUGGAUUGAUCUUGCUUCAGGGAGUCACUGCCUUUGAUGGGAGGAGAGGGUUCAACACCUGGUCUGAGAAAAUGAUGCGCAUGCUGCAGAUGGAAGAACUCUGGGAAAUCGUUUCACCACCGACAAUCGCUGCAGAUGCUCGUAUGCGGCAAGCCCCUGCUGCAUUGGGAGCUUCAACUUCGGUGGAAGGAGAAGUCGUGGAUGAAGAGGCAAUUCGUGCCUUUGUUGCAGCAGCUUGACAACAGCUUGAUCCAGGGGAACAAGCUGCGCUGGAGAAGAAGGAAUCUCGAGCAAAAGGAUUGAUUCUUUCUAAGCUUGCAGAUGCCCUUAUGAUGCGUUUGCGUCAUAAGAGUGCUUGUGAGAUCUGGGCUCAUCUCCACAACAAGUAUGCUGUUCUUUCCCUCUCCAAGAUCAGCACGGUCGAGACUUGCAUUCAUGAGACCCAUUUUCAUCCAGGCGAGAACUUUGAAGAGUUCCUCGCCAAGAUGCAAGAUUUGUGGAUGGAGCUUGAAGGCAGUCCAGCGGCGUUCAACGAAAGCAAGAAAGUUCUGGCACUUUGCGAGGCCAUGCAAGAUUCUUCUUUUAGUUCUUGCAUCCCACACAUAUCAUCGAGGCAGAGGAGGCCGCGGAAGAGGAGGACAAGGCAGAGGUUGCGGGUUUAGGGGAAAUCCGCAGCAGCAGCAGAAUUCAGGGAAUUCUGGUAAAGAAGCAGUAGUUCGGGAUUGUUUUGUGGGCAAGAACAAACAGGAAUGCUGGACCUGUGGGAUGCCAGGACACUACUCCAAGGAUUGCCUAGUUGCAGCUUGGCUGCAACGCAUGAACAUAGGGCUCGCAGCAAAUGCUCAGGAAGGGGAAACACGGGAACUUGCGGCAUCAUCUGAGGUAGCAGUUCCAAACGUUUUUGAAAAACUGACCAUUGAUUCAGGUUCAGAGAGACACCUGAUGCAAAGCGGGUCGAACUUUGUGCAGUUGCGUACUGCAAAAGGGAAGUGCAUUCGUGUGGGAGAUAGAAGCAUUUUACCUAUUUGCACAACUGGGGAUGUGCGAGUUCCACUGGGAAGAAAGUCUUUGCUCUUGAAGAAUGCAUAGUAUGUUCCAAAGAUAGUGAAGAAUCUGAUUUUUGUAGCCAAGCUUACGGAUGAAGGUCUGGAUGUGAAUUUCUCCAAACAUCAAUGUCAAGUUCUUGCAAAUGGUCGUCCAUUACUGCAUUUUCCCAUAUGUGGUAACUUGUUUGAGAAGGAGAUAGCUUUUGGAGAAAAAUCAAACGCGAGAUAUGCAUGACUGCAGAUAGUUCUCUCUGGCAUUCUCGAUUUGCACAUGCCAAUCCCCCUCUCAUCAGGUGUAUGCAGAAGCAUGAGCUUGUGGAUGGCUUCAACGACCACGUUCUUCAAAGUUCAGCAAAAUGUCACACUUGCAUUCUUGGCAAGCAAACCCGUUGUACUUUCAAACCUGCUGUGAUCAGAAGCACUCGUCCCUUGCAGCUCAUUCACUCAGAUGUUUGUGGACCCAUGCAACUGUUUGCUCAGAAUGGCACGAAGUAUUUUGUGACGCUUACAGAUGAUUUCUCAAGACACACGGACGUCUUCUUCUUCAUCACAAAGAUGAAGUCUUCAGCAAAUUCAAGCAAUUCGUAGCAGAAGCCGAAGUGAAAACUGGUCAGAGGGUUGGCUGUUUACAUAUUGAUUCAGGAGGUGAAUAUGUCAAGCAGUUCUGUGCUAAAUGAGGAAUUCUUCAUCAGUGCUCUUGCUCUUAUACCCCUCAACAGAAUGGAGUCUCUGAGUGCAAGAACAAGACAAUCAUGAAUGCAAUUCAGUGCUUCCUUCAAGAAUCAGGACUACCAAAAUUCCUCUGGGCUGAAGCAGUCGGAUUAGCUGUGCACAUUCAAAACCUUCUCCCUCAUUCUCGCAAUCCCAACAAGAUCCCAGAAGAGCUUUGGACUAGUCAAAGACAAUCAGUGGUGCAUCUCAAGUGUUUUGGUUGUUUAAGCUUUGCAAAAAGGGUGGAUGAGCAUCUCGAUAAGUUGGAGAGCAGAAGCAAGCUGGCCUUUCUUGUUGGAUACGAUUCCAAUUCAAAAGGAUAUUGCAUAUACUAGCCUGGUAAUCAUCAAAUUUCUGUAAGCAUGUAAGCUCCUAAGUUUAGACUUCUUGGGAGGUCACCCAGCCCAAUACUAUUCAAACCCAAAGACGCUUAACCCCAAAUAUCCCAAGACCCUUAACCGAUUGGAAAAGGGGGUGCACUCUUAUUCAUGAGCCCUUUCCCUCUAUAUUUGAACCCUUAUGGAUCGUCUCUCGAGUUGUUCCCUUUGGUUGUUUACAAAGCACUGAUGUUCAUUUUGAUGAAUGAACACUCUACAAAGAUCAUGUUCAAGAAGAAGGAAGCUCAAAUCAAAAUAUGAACUAGACUCCGGAAGAAUGGAGUUGGGAUGGUGUUGAAGACGAUGAUGAAGAUGACGAUGAUUUAACAAUCAUCUAUCCCUCAUCUCCUUUAGCAGACGAUUCUCCAACAACAGUCUCUGGAUCUUUUCUUCUUGAAGAACAAGGCAAUGCUGCUCAUUGUGCAUGAACUGGAGAAGUCGACAGGCUCACACGUGAUCUACCAUUCAAUGUGGAGAACUAUGGGUGGACAUCAUCUGGACGAUCAAGCAGAGUACCUCAUCCCAAGCAAUAGUCUUUUGCAGCAAUAGAAAUAGCUUCUAAACCAGUCAACUUUGAGCAAGCCAUUCAAGCUCCUGAUGCAAAUAAGUGGAUUUCAGCAAUGCAAGAUGAGUUGAAUUCUCUUGAUGAGAACCAGACUUAUGACUUGGUGGAAGCUCCUGAAGGAUGUGAAGUUGUUGGAUCAUGCUGGGUGUUCAAGCUUCAUAGAAAUCCUGAUGGAUCGGUACAGCGUUAUAAAGCAAGACUUGUUGCUCAAGGAUAUUCACAAGUUCCUGGAGUGGAUUUUGAUGAGACGUUCUCACCAAUUGUGAAGUAGACAAGUAUUAGAAUGCUUCUGGCUUUUUCAGCGGAGUUUGAUUUGUGUGCACAUCACAUGGACGUAAAAACAGCCUUCCUUAAUGGGAACUUGAAGGAAGAGAUAUUUAUGCGGCAACCCCCAGGCUUUGAGCUUUUUGGAUCACGGUGCUCCGAACUAGUCUGCAAGCUUCGCAAGGCUCUUUAUGGCCUUAAGCAGGCUUCCCAUCAGUGGUAUGAAUGUUUGGAUUCUUUUCUUAUGGAUCUCGGUAUGUAGAGGUUGAACAGCAAUGGAAAUCUAUAUCUUCUUCAGCAGGGUGAUCACUUUGUUGUGAUAGCAGUUUAUGUGGACGACUGUUUGAUUGUCAGCAACAAUGACACUGUUUUGAAGGAUGUGAAGAUCAAGCUUAUGGACAAGUUUGUGAUGAAGGACUUAGGAGUUGUGCGGCAGCUAUUAGGGAUGGAAGUUGACAGGGAUGAAGCAGAUAGGACAAUCACCCUCACAUAGUGCCAAUAUGUGAAGAAGCUUCUCAACCAGUUCAACAUGACAAGUUGCAAAUCCGUGGCUACACCAGUCAUCACUAGCAUUAAGUUCACAAGCAAGAUGGAUGAUUUAUUUGACUAGCACUCAGUCUACCGAUCGCUUGUUGGAGGACUACUCUACCUCACCAACAUGACUCGCCCCAACAUCUCCUUUGCCGUUGGUCUCCUCAGCCGAUACAUGCAAUCUCCGAGUUGUUAUCAUUGGCAAAUGGCAAAGAGAGUUUUGAGGUAUUUGAAAGGAACGGUUGCGCAUGGACUGGUUUACAAAUGCUCAGGUCAGUCCAAACUUGUUCUUCAAGUUUACUGCGAUGCAGAUUGGGCUGGCAACUUGGAUACACAAUAUUCAACCUCCGGAAUUUGCUACAUAAUUGCUAGUGCUCCGGUUUCAUGGGGAAGCAAGAAGCAAACGACGGUUGCUCUUUUCAGUGCAGAAGCAGAGUACAUAGCUGCCAGUACAGCAGCAAGGGAGAUCAUCUGGCUUUGUCGAUGACUUGGAGAACUCAAUCAACAGCUAUCAAAUGCGACCAUUCUGCAUUGCGACAACAAAAGUGCAAUCGCCAUGUCAAAGAAUCCUGUGUUUCAUGCUUGUACGAAACAUAUAGACGGGCAGCAUCACUUCAUUCGUGAACAUGUAGCAGCUGGAGAUCUUCACCUGGAAUACGUUCCUUCAUAGUAUCAGUUGGCAGACCUUCUAACCAAGCCACUUUCGGAGCUCACAUUCAUCAAGCUGAGGAAUCAACUUGGAGUAUCAAGCACCCUCAGCUUGAAGGGGGAGUGUAGGAAUAAUGAUAAACACGACAAGCAAGACGAUUCAUAUCAGAAGUAGUCCAAAUUGUGAUCAGAUCUCUGGUGAUUUCCAAUUUGAUUGAAGUUGUAUAUAUAUACAGCCAUAUAUGAAUCAAUGCGUGGGUUGAAGUGAAAUCCAUUGUUCUUGCUCCACUUUUCUUUCAGAGCAGUCAUCAUCACUGAAGCAGUAGUGGACACUCUCCUCUCGAGGUGCUGUUUGGACUGAGAAAAUGAGGAAGAUCGCCAUCAAGAUCUUCAUCUUUGCCAUUCCUGGUGGAAACCUUAAGCGGGAGCACGAAACUCUCGAAGUUCACACUGCCUGGUCCUUAGAAACUCUCGAAUCGAAAUGAAAGAAGAAACACUCUUUACUUUUAUGGUGUAUCCACCACAUCCAAGCACCGAGAACCUUUCACGUGUCCCAGCGAUUCACUACUCUUCCAGCAGUGUAAUCGUCUUCCAGCUCAAGCAGACACAUGACAGGUGCUGCAAGAAGACAAAAGAAAACGAUGUGUCACACUAUAAUCUUCUAUGCUAGCUCCACGUUGUUCCUGAGUGCCUCCGAUAAGUUUGCGAUGGAUAGAGCACCGUAGCUCUGCUGCUGCUAAUCCAUUCCCUGCAUAUUUGGAGGCAGGUUCGAAAACAGAAGAUAAGCUGAAGCUUGAGAUUGCUAACAAUUGAUAUUUGUAACUAAAUUUAAGACACAAUAGUUUUAUAUUAGAAAAUUAUAAAUUCUUAUUUAAGUAAUUUAUAAUAGUUAUAAACAAAAAAAAUUGUAGUUUUGACCAGAAAAUAUGUAAUUGUUAUGUUUAGUUCUUAUUUAUGACUAAAUUUUAAGUCCAAAAAGAAAAGUUAUAAACAUAGUGGUAAAGAUGGGAAUUUAAGUCAUUAUUUAUGAUGAUAUUUAAAAAUAAACAGUUUUCUAUUCUAAUUUAUUACCAAUAUGUCUUAAUGCUUGUCUUUGAUUUUGGAGUUACAUUUUUUUCUAUUUUAGAAGCUUAAAGGUGCUCUUGAUAAAUACUAUCUAGGUCGUGGUGAAUGAAUGCAAGUAUUUUUUUUUUAUGUCAAUUUUAUUACUUUAUAUUAUUUGUUGUUUCAUAUUUGCUAGCUUUCCUUAUAAGAGAAUGCAUACAAUCACCCACAGCAAUGGAAUUUACAAGGAACUCAUCAAUCUUCAGCAUUUCCUUUAUAAAACGUUCAUGGUAAUGGAUUUAAAUGAAAGUUUUCCUUUGGUUUCUCUCAUUUGUCAUUACUCUGUGUUAUCAAAAAUGGAUAUAACCACCUUUUUUAUUUUCCUAAGCCAAGCCCAACUUUUUAUAAUACUCUUAAUGCUUCUCGCAACUCCAAAUUUUCCUCCAAGAAUAAUUUAUAAGAUAAGUAAAACCCUAAAAUCACCAGGGAAAAACUAAAGGCAUAGGAUAUACUCUACAUUUAACUAAUGUUUCCUUAUCACCUUGAUUAAGUUUGGUCGAGCCUUCUCUCUCUCCUCUAAAGUCAGAAGUUUUGGCUAUGGCGCUGGAGUCUUCCAGGAUCACAGUGGCGAACAUUUGCUUGGUUUCUCCAAGUUACAGCCCGGAGAAUGUCAAUCUGUUGGAGAGGAAGAAGCAAAUGCGUCUCGGUGCUGCUUCUCAUAUGAUUUGGUUCGUGCCUUACAGGACUCGCCUUCUCUUCUUCCGAAAGCCUCCUCCCCAUCUCUCCUUCGAGGCCAUUGUAGCAAAUCUCAAGAGUUCUCUUGCCAAGGCGCUGGUGGAGUUUUAUCCCCUGGCAGGGAGAUUGCUUGUGAGUGACAGCGAGAAUGGACUGCGGAUGGAUGUGGUUUGCAAUGACAAAGGCGUGCUCUUCAUUGAAGCCAGUGCUACUGGAGUUACUGUUGAGGAGCUCGCAAAGGAUGAAGUGAGUGGUCAUUUUGAGGGGAUUCCAGCAAAACUAGUGGAAGAUCUGGCACAAUGUGGAGACUACGAUAUAUUAACAAUUCCAUGGUCCUUCGAUGCUCCUCUGUUCAUCAUCCAGGUACUUCAAUAUAUAUUCGCAUUGAUAAUCAAGUCGAAUCGAAUGUAGGUGACAGAGCUUUCUUGUGGAGGCAUUUGCAUCUCCGUCAAGUUCAAUCACCAGCUUUUAGAUGGAGCUGGGACCUGGAACUUUGUCAAGUCAUGGGCCGAGGUCUGUUGUGGUAAAUCUAUGUCACUCAAGCCCGUGGUCGUGGAAACUCCACCAUGCAUUGCGGUCUCGGACGAUCAUCCCACAGAUUUUGAGCUUCCAGCAGGGUUUGAAAGGAUCUGCAACGCGGAUUUACUGAAAUUAAGCACCAAGUCAACAUCGCAGUCCGCGGAGUAUGACAUGAAGUGCUUUGCAUUCAAGAAGGAGAAGAUCCAAAAGAUGAAGCUCGAGAAUCCAGGGUUUAGCUCGUUCCAGCUUCUCACGAGUUUCAUAUGGUCCAGAGUUAACGCUGCGAGAGAUCUCAAGGAUGACGAAACCACUACUGUUGUAUUCGCGGCGAACUGUAGAGGACGGAUCAAGACUGUGCCGAAGGGAUUCGUAGGAAUGGCCGCGGUGUAUGAUCACGUUUCCACCAAAGUCUCGAGCCUACGAGCUCAGGGAAAUGAGCUGAGAAACGGGGCGGAUCUUCUCAAGAAAAAGAUUGGUGAUUUGCUCACGGAGGAAGGCGUGGGUCUCUACUCAAAGGUUGUGAGCAGUGGCGACAGGGGCUUCACAGCGCUUCCUCAAUCUAAGACGGAAACAGCAUUGAUCCUUGGAAGUUCGUUCUACUUCCCGGUUUUCGAGGACUUUGGAUUUGGAAAGCCGGUUGGAAUGACGCUGGUUCAUCCUUCUGAGGAUGGCAGGCUAUACUAUUUCCCAGGGAAGGAGGAAGGUGAUGUGGUAGCAUAUAUUGGGCUCACAAGUCACGCGAUGAGAAAGCUUAGUUUUCCACAGGUUUGAAACAAUAUAAAGUUCUCUUUGCCCCUCACCGCGGGACGGCAUGGAAAUCAAGGCGAGGAUCUUCGAGACAGAUGUUUCUGAUGGUACCGUUAUUGUUGACAUGCACGGGAAGCUCCAGAUAAUGGAUCUGGCCACCGCGGCUUUUGGCUGGAUCAAAGAGAGGAAUGCUGUCUCCUUGACUGCUAUGUUCCCAGAAUUUGCCCGGAAUGGUUAUUACAGAGACGCUCUCGAGUUCCUCCAUGGAUUUGGAGGGAGGCAAGCCAAAUGGCGUGACAUUUAUUGUCUUUCUGGAAGCCUGCGCCGGUCUCGGGGAUAGAAUCUGCCGUAAAAUUCUUCACUCCCGAAACCGAGGGAAUGAAGCUUGAUUUCUUCGUCAGAAAUGGUGGUCUCGGCUUAUGCGCUGGAUGCUUAUGCGGGCGACAGCACAGGGAGUCUUUUGGGAGCUCGACCUCGAAAAACACGAGCGCCUUCGAGACGUCCUCAAGUUUGACCAUGGCUAGAAGCCUCCACUCUCGGAUCCUUGCCAGUGGAACGCGUGAGCGUGAUCGUGGUCGUGACCACUUACAGAAACUCUCAGCCUCGCGAGAUCCACGUUCAAUGGCCUGUGCUGGAACACGAUGAUCUCCGCCUACGUGCAGCACGGCAACGCCAGGAAGGGCUCAAGCUCUUCAACGAGCUCAAGCAAGCCGGGGAGCGGCCAAACAGCAUCACUUUGAGCGGCUGCAUGAUCGAUCUGCUGGGAGGAGCUGAGGGAUUGGAGGAGGCUGAGAGAGAGGCUGCUCCAUGAAACGCAAUGUCCUCUCCUGAUCAUGAACGUCGUCUCUGUGAACUUCAAUCACCAAGUCCUGGAUAAAACCAGGGCAUGGCAUUUCGUAGUUCGAUAUAAGCUGCGGCAAAUCCCCGUCACUUGAGCAGGUGGUUGUGGAAACUCCCCUGGACAACGAGCAGAGCUGGAGAUUUAGCUCCCGCCGAUUUUUCAUGCGGUGGAAGAUUAGACUUUGUUCACAACUUCUCACUAUCAACGCCAUGAAAGGCUUCUCGUUUGCAAAGCAGGCGAUUGGGUUGCCAAGGAGUGAGAUUCCAGAGCUCCUCACGGCAAAGAGAUGGAAGACCCCGUGUUCUUCGCGGUCAACUGCUGUGAAAGCUGGAAACUAUGACUCUUAGUACGCUUUCUCAUGACAUGAAGAGUUGCCACCUCAUAGAUCCACGUUGGCUAAAGUUGACGAAGAACUAGAAGGCAACGAUAUAUCAGAGCCACAUUGUCCACACGACGCUUCCGCUAUGUUUUGACACUUUCGAGACUGUCAUGUUCAGGACGGCCUCCAAGCUACCUCUGCGUGACGACAAAAAAUUACCCCACCUGGAGAAGCUGCUGCAAGAUGGUGAACCGAUGAAGACUCGUGUCUCUCCACGUGGACUAGCCACGUGGCACAGGGCCACUCUCAACAAACUCGUCCACGCUUCGGCAGCCUCGCAGCAUAUCAAUACUACGUCGCUGCGGGGGCAGCGAUCGAUUGUCAUAGUCCGAGUCCGACCCCAAGCGCGUCUGGAGCACUACCAUCGUCAUCGGUAAGUUCCACAAGCUCUUUCUCGUUCAGUUCCUGCUCGUACCGCUGCUCCUCAUCUCGGCUCCCGGAAUUGUCCUGAGCACCACCACCACCGCUGGAAAGCACAUCGGUGUCAAUCGGCUGUGCUUCGUCCUCUCCAGCAGCAGCCACCUCGGAGAAUCUAGACAAGGGCGGCGCCGCAUCAGAUUUCCUGCCGUCGUCAAGGUCCCAAACAAUGGGAGAGUACUUCCCCAUCGUCGCCCUCUACGUCCCUGUAAUCCGUGGCAAUGUAGGCCCUGAGUCCAUUAGCUCGCUCGGGCUCGGUCCACUCACGAGCCCUAAACCACAGAGAAGUAAAAUAUUUACCCUUUGUUGGUCUAAUCAUUAUUGCAUUUUAUGUUUCUCGAUUCUUUAUGAGGAAAGAUCGAUUUGAAGGUACUUAAAACGUUUUCUUCCAUCGCUAAACCCUAGAAACCUCAAGCAAUAUAAAAAAAAGCCCUUUAAUGGAUAUGGUCUAAAGAAUUCCAGAAAGAUCUUUUCGUUUCUUAGUACCACACUUGAUGAUUUCACGUGAAACGAAUAUACUCGCUUUUCUUUGCUUCUUUGUUUUGCGUAUCCCCGUUCUUCGUCGCGGAUGUUCUAUACCGAAAAAAAAGCAAGAAAACCACAAGAGAAUCAACUCAAUAACAUUGACGUGUUACAAGCCAGCACUUCCAAGAAAUGUACCUCCCACGUCGCUGCCAUGAAAGCCAGUCCCCCGUCCCACAGAAGAACUCUAAACAAAUCCCUCCACCAAAAAGCUGUCUAGCCCGCUGUGGAUGAGCUCGAAACCAUCCAAACAAAGCGACCGUGCCUGAAUCCGGUGCCGCUGCACGUUUUCGCGCACGGUGCUGGGGCUCCAUCCUCAUCCGGCUGCAUGAUCAAGUUUGUCUCUCCGAAUCUUGGUUUAAUCCUCUUUUCUUUUCUUUUUUUAUUUCUUCCGGCAAGAUGGAAGAGCCUGUUGGCAACGGCGACCCAACGCCGUGGAUGUGAUAUCCCUGUGGGUCUUCUUUCUUGGAAGAUCUUGUGAGCUUUCUAGUUACAUGUAAUUAUAUAGGAAGCGCAUUUUUUGGAACUAAAAUCCAUUCAAGAUCGAGAAUUUGAGAGCAUGUAACUAAAUCGUUGUUAUUGUAAAAUUCUAGACUCGGAGACGCUCCGAGUGAGAGAACGAGCUGCUGCUUGGCAUUCUUCUCCUCGCAAGCUACCUGGCCUGUGCUCAAGCAUCGGACGACAUACGAAACUCGUAGCUUGUCUAACGCUACAAAAACAAUUACCUUUAAAGCAAAAUUUUAAAAAAAAACAUUUGGCAUGAUUGAUGCCACUUUGUACGACGUGCACCGUAGGGUUGCGUUGCUAUCAGAGUUGGCAUCUGAUUUCAUGUUUAAAGUCAAGCAGCAUGCCAAGCCACUGACUCAUCUUUGCUAACCACUUCCAAAUUGUCAUUUGGAUGUUGAUUCAUCAACGACAUUUGUUGUAAUUUCUGAGGGUAUUCCAUUGGAAGUUAUGGGGGAGCCAAAGCAGGCCCGGAUAGAUGACUACAAGGAUUUGAGAAGCAUUUUCUCUGAGAUGUGGAGCCAUGGGGUGUCGAGUGUGAGGGAGCUGAAGGAACAGAGAUACAGAGCAGCAAAAUUCAAUUUAAGAGACUUCAAAGGGUUGCGCGAGCUGCUGCUGCAGGAGGACAACAGUCUAGAGCACGUAAUCAUGAGGGAGAAGGGCUACCACAAAGUGGGGGGGUUUCUAGAAGCAGCUGUGUCCAAGCUGAGCAGCCUUGCCAUUUAUGGAGACAAAUUUCGCGAGGGGGUGUUUCGCAGCUUGGAUGAAGCUAUUGCUGCUGUCAAGCACAAGGGGAUGCCAAUCAAGCUCAAGACGCUUCUUCUAUGUUACUGUGACGUAGAUUUAGAUGCUUUAGCAGGAUCAACACUUCCAAAGUAUUUAGAACGUCUGGAGCUUUAUAAUUGCCAUUGCUCGCCCAACCUGGAGAAGCUGCUGCAAGAUCCAGCCUGCAAGAUCUGGGAGCUGUCCCUGGAUAAGAAUGAAUACUUGACCCCUGCCCUCUUCCAGCCUCGAACAAGUCUACAGAAGCUUACGCUGGUCGACAUCCCAAAUGAUCAGGCGCUACUCAGCCAAAUCUGUGGAUCAAUAGAGGGCCUUGGAAUUUCAAAUGAGCCCAACCCUGCGCAGAUCUCCCUGCUGGAAGAUUGCAUAAACAACAAUGCCAAGUCCAAGCUCUGGUUCCUGGAGUUCACAUCAUUCCAUUUCUCUUUAUCUAUCGUGCAGCUCGUGGGCCAGCUGCUGAAGAGCCCAUAUUGCAAGCUUGAAAGUCUCUCCUUGUUACCUGGGGUGAGUUGUUGUUUCAACAUUGAUAUUGACACCGAUUUUCUUAAGCAGAAGGAAAGCCUCUCCUCACCUAGUCAUCAAGAUGCGAUUCUCAGCAAUUUGGAGGCCAACUACAGCAGCCGGAUCCAGAGACUGCGCAUUGGCGGGGAAUGGGCUUCCAUACUGUUGGAGGACAGAUGGUUGAAGGUGAAGUACCGGAAUGCUCUAUUUCAGAAGAGCCCCGUUCUUGCACAAAGCGCUCUAGAAAACCCUCCAGUCACACCAUCAACUGCCAAGCUGUUCAUGUGCGGCCACACUGCCUCGGGCAAGACCACCAUCUCCACCAAUCUGGUCCGCCCCUAUGCAGCCCUCUGGCAGUGUGUGAAGCCGCCAUGUCAGGAUCAUGCAUCAACAGUGGGAAUUGAGAGGAGGACUCUCAGAUUUGGAGAGAGGAAGAAACUCCUGAUUUACGAUCUGGGAGGCCAGGAGGUCUACCACGCUUUUCAUCACUAUUUCCUCAGGGGCAGCGACAAAGAUCUCUUCAUGGUGGUGUGCAAGGUUGGAGGUCGUGGAGGUAAGAUGAAAACAGAGCUCCAAUACUGGCUUCGCUUCAUAGCGGCCCACCAAACUGCAGCACCAGCUAGGAAACCCACCAUUUUCUUAGUACUCAACAUCUUUGUUCGUCAUGACCGUUUCUUGGUAGAAGCUCGAGCAGCUGCGACGUCACUGUUACUCAAGUAUAAGGACAGGCUAGACUUUGUUCAGGGCCAACGUGGUGAUCACUAUUUCGAGUUAAAUGGGUUGAAUGCUCGUCAGGUACAGGAGGAACUGAAGCCCAGGCUGGCGAUAGCAGUGGGCGAAAUGAUAAAUGAGGUUCCCGUGAUUCCCUGGACUUGUGAUGAGGUUAUCAGAGGGCGGGCUUCAUCCUCACCAUGGUAUCAUAUCCACACACGGGCACAAACAAUUGUCCAGCAGAGGGUGGUCGACCUACAUGAGAUGUCGAAGGCUUGGUUCCAGGGGGAGAAAGAAGAUGAGGCACUUGCUGCACAAUACACAUUCAUCUGCCUACAUGACAUGGGAGAAGCUGUCUACUUUGGGGCAGAUGACACAUAUCAAAACACGGAUCCAAACGACAAGGAAGCUGCAUUGAUUGUCAACAAUGCUGUUCUAGACAUGCCAUGGUUUCUCCAUACAGUGUUAGGAAUUUUCAUUCCUAAGCAAGACAGAAACGAUACGAUGAAGUGGGGGGAACCCAAGUGGUCUACUGAGGAAGCAGUAGAAGCUCUCAGAACACAUGGAGAGACUUCAGAGGGCAACAUCUAUUUCUUGCUCAAGCUGCUCUGUGAGAUGGGGGUUUUGAUUCCUGAUGGCAUGAGGAGCUGGGACAUAAGGUGGUCAGAGCCACGAAAUCGGCCAGAACACCUCAUUGUGCCUGCAUUAUUGCGUGAUGAGUUCACUGGGUGGAUUGAAAGGGAGCAAACAUAUGAUUGUUGGGGUCGGAGAUUGCAAGCAGACGACACUAUCAAGGGCUUCGUUCUUCUCCCAUCAGGUAAUUAUGCUCUUGACUGCUGGGAUUGAGAUUAAACAUUGAUGUCUGUAUGUUUGUUGGUUGCAAGCAGGAGUUUUUGCAGUUAUUCAAGCCAAGGUGAAGGAGAUGUGUGACAGAUGGGGCCAUGGAAGUAAGCUUGGUGCUGGUUGGGUUUCCUUCCAAGAGGAUCUCAUUCAAGUUCUGGUGACUAUUGGUGGGGAUUAUAAGCAUUGGACAGAUCGGCAAUGGGUGGAUAUUAUGUUGAUGGUGCCCAAGGAGGAAAAGAGGGGACUCAAAGGGGAGCAGUUCAUGAAUGAGAUACGGAUUGUGUAGUCAAGGAAACUAACAGGGCCUGUCCUUUCAUCAAGCUUGAAGAGCAUGUUCUGAAUCCAGGGAAGGUAAGACAAUUUGGAAAAGCAUCAGGACAACAGAGGUCAUGCGAUGAAAACAACAAGAGCUCUUGGGCAUUGCAAGAGGUUAAACAGAUGGUAGCUAGGGAGGGCUUUGAUUAUCACUUUACCUGGGGUUUUGGUGACUCCACAAGUGCCUUGGAACUCUUAAUGCCAAGUGAAGUCAACGAGAUCAUUCAGCCACAUAAGCGUUCUGUUGAAGAGGUUGUCACAGAAUACAACCAGCACAUAGUGCCAGUGUAUCAAAGCCAGCAGCAACAGCUUGUGCAGGUCGAGAUCCCAAAGUUUGAAAGUGAUGACAUGAGUAACCUUGCCAACUUUUGCUAUCAAUUACACAAGCAUCAAAUGCAGGGGAUGCAGAUAUAUAUGGAGGACUUUAAGGUCUCCAUAACAGAUAUCAAAAAAUCUUUACAGAAGCUUCAAAAGGGCCUGAAGGACACAGAAAACGUAUUGAUCAAGAGCUGCUCAUCACUGUUGGAAUCCAUUAAGCUGGAGUGUCCAAAACUCCCACACCUUACAAUGGAGUCAAAUCUGUCGCUAAAAUAUUCAACUGAUUGGGAAACGAGCAAAUAUUAGCUACUUAUGUGAGCAUCCAAGCGGCUGUCACCCAGUUGAUUUGAAGAAGUACCCAGGAGUACCAAUCACUAUCCCAAAUCAAUGGUUCAAAAAGUAUAGCAACAUCUUCGUCCCAGCCAUCACAAUGUGUUUCACCCUUGCAAAGCUUGGUAAAGUGGCAUUGCCUGAGGGAGGGGAGCUGGUCAGCACCUUGAUUGAGCUUAGUGCAAAUGGCUUGAAGGCUACAAUCGACUCUUGCUUUGAAGGUGAUCUCAAUAACAGGUUGCAACCUGCAUCAGAAGAUGACAUUGUGGAGUUGUUUGAGUAUGUGAAAAAGAAUUCACCUGAACGAUAUGGUGAGGACCGAAUCUUGAUGAUGAAGAAGUGCUUUGGACUCAUCAAAAGUCCAAGUGGCUGGGUUUGUGAAGAUCACUAUUAUUGAAGAAGAAGGGCACAGGCUUAGUAAAACUACUAAAAUGAAGAAGCGGUGAAGUGAAGGAAUUGAAAAAAAAUAAAAGAAAGCAGCGGUUAUCCACUUAAUAUAUUGUAUGUCGAAAGCUCAUCUGCUGUCCAGGGAACUUAGAGAUCAAACCUUAAGACCUCUCUCCACACCAUCGGACACUCCAAAGUUUCCACAAAGCAACGGUGCAACGCAGGAGUCCUACGAUUCAGCCCCUGGGCACGCAUGAGCGCACCAUGUAAGUAAAAAAUUCUCAUUGAAAAUUCUAGACUAGGGAAAGAGCUUUCUCAGUGUGCUGCUGUUUGGCCAUUCUUCUCCUCCAGCCUCCUGGCCUGUGCUCCAGGAUCAGACGAGGAUCCUUAUGCGUACGGAGCUCCUCUUUGUCCAGAGGGGUGAUCCAGGCCGGGAACAUGUUCGUGUUGGGUCAUGUUUCCUCGUGUCGUCCACUUCCAGCUCAACGUUGGGAAGGAGGAAGCUGUGGGGAUCGCCACGUUUAACAGCCAGAAUCCGGGGACUUCGAGGUUGCAAAGGCGGUCUUUGCUUCCAGGGCGGACGUGAGCGACGAUGUAAUUACCAAGGCGUUCCAAGUCUCGGAUCCCGAGCUUGUGAGCGAGCCCAGGAAACUCAUCAAGUAGACUUAAAGGAACUUUCCUUCUUAGGAGUGAUCUUAGAUAUGAUUGUCUGGAAACAAAAACAUUCACAAACAGAAGUACCUGUGUUAAAACGCUCUCACCUAAGCAGCAAAGCUUGCUUCAGGAUUGGAAGCUGGGCCGUGUUGCAAACAACGAAUAAAAUAUGCAGAAUCUUUCAAGGCUACCUUUGCUUUAGCACAGACGUAGAAGCCACGGCCAAGAUUGGGACCAGCCUUCGUAACUGUUCUCACGACACAAGGCUCACCGUGUCCCUUGCACAAUGGAAGAUUUCGCUCUGCCCAUGCACUGCGACCUCUGUGCAGCUCAUCUUGUCAGAAGAUUCAUGCCUUUGAUAGCAAAACCCUGUCAAUCUGCUUUGUGACAGCCUCUGUAAUUUCCUGCAGCCCGUUUCCUGUGUAAAAGCGGGCUUGGAAACAUUUUGGCUUGUAUCAGGCUCGGUGUUAGCUGUUGUUCUCUCGUUGAGCUUUCUGAAAAUGGAAACUACACCAGUCAGCACGAGGGGUUGUCAGAAACGUCCUUCGCUAUAAGAAGUUACUCACUGAUACUUUGCUGACGACCGCAAAGCUCAGGCAUAAAUAGAGCAGCCAGUUGUGGAGCUUCAUGUGGUGGAAUGGAAGGUAAUGCUUAAGCUGCAGAAUAGCAGGAGCGUGAUCUGAACCAUCCAGUUUCAAGCUUCUUCCACCACUCCAUCUGCCAUGGAGAAACAUCAACACUGGCAACAACUAGUCUGUCUUUUUGCGUACCUCGGAAGGGUGUCCAGCUUUGCACGCUUAAACUCGAGAAGAAUGUCACAACCACCACUUCCUUGACAUCCACGAUCAAUGGAUGGUGAAACGAGAGAAGAACGUUGAUUUCCCGUAGAGAAGUCAUGGGGAAUCCUUCUCUCUCGUGGACCAUCUUCACUCUCUUGAGCGCCACAAUCUCUCCACUCUGCAGCAUAUCAAGACUACGUAGCUGCGGGGGGUCCGACCCCGAGCGCGUCUGGAGCACUACCAUCGUCGUUGCUAAGUUCCACAAGCUCUUUCUCGUUCAGUUCCUGCUCGUACCGCUGCUCCUCAUCUCGGCUCCCGGAAUUGUCCUGAGCACCACCACCACCACCGCUGCAAAGCACAUCGGUGUCAAUCGGCUGUGUUUCAUCCUCUCCAGCAGCAGCCGCCUCGGAGAAGCUAGACAAGGGCGACGCCGCAUCAGAUUUCCUGCCGUCGUCAAGGUCCCAGACAAUGGGAGAGUACUUCCCCAUCGUCGCCCUCUACGUCCCUGGAAUCCGUGGCAAUGUAGGCCCUGAGUCCAUUAGCUCGCUCGGGCGGGAGCAUGAGAGCUAGCGCAUUUGGAGCUUACCGGCGAGCGCCAUUCGCUCCACUCCAGAGCCACGAGCCCUAAAACACAGAGAAAACAUUAUUUCUCGAUUCUUUGGGAAAGAAAGUUCUCGUCUAUCGACGACGAGGAUUUGAAGGUACUUAAAACGUUUUCUUCCAUCGGGUGAGCCAUCACUAAACCCUAGAAACCCUCUAAACCUCGAGCAAUAUAAAAAAAAGCCCUUUAAUGGAUAUGGUCUAAAGAAUUUCCAGAAAGAUCUUUUCGUUUCUCCUACGGCAUAGUACCACACUCGAUGAUUUCACGUGAAACGAAUAUACUCUCUUUGCUUUGUUUUGCGUAUCCCCGUUCUUCGUCGCGGAUGUUCUAAACCGAAAAAAAAGAAAGAAAACCACGAGAGAAUCAAGUCAAUAACAUUGACGUGUUCUCUUCCAGGAAAUGUACCUCCCAAGUCGCUGCCAUGAAAGCCAGUCCCCCGUACCGCAAAAAAACUCUAAGCAAAUCCCUCCACCAAAAAGCUGUCUAGCCCGCUGUGGAUGAGCUCGAAACCAUCCAAACAAAGCGACCGCGCCUGAAUCCGGUGCCGCCGCACGGCGCUGGGGUUCCAUCCUCAUCCGACUGCAUGAUCAGGUUUGUCUCUCCGGAUCUUGCUUUAAUCCUCUUUUCUUUUCUUUUCUUUUUUCUUUCUUCUGGCAAGAUGGAAGAACCUGUUGGCAACAGCGACCAACGCCGUGGAUGUGAUAACAUUCGACUAUCCCUGUGGGUCUUCUUUCUUAUUAUUUUUCUUCUUUCUUGGAAGAUCUUGUUAGUUUUCUAGUUAAAUGACAUACUCUGUUUCCCCUAAAUCAUUUUAUCCAUGUAAAUAUAUAGGAGGCGCAUUUUUGCGGACUAAAAUCCAUUCAAGAUCGAGAAUUUGAGAGCAUGUAAUUAAAUCGUUGUUAUUGUAAAAUUCUAGACUCGGAGACGCUCCGAGUGAGAGAACGAGCUGCUGCUUGGCAUUCUUACCUGGCCUGUGCUCAACCAUCGGACGACAUACGAAACUUGUACAGCUUGUCUAACGCGUGUGCUUUGCUAAUUGCCUACAAAAACAAUUACCUUUACAAAGCAAAAGCAAAAGAAAAAGAAAAAGAUUUGGCAUGAUUGAUGCCACUUUGUACAACGUGCACCGUAGGUCAGAGUUGGCAUCUGAUUUCAUGUUUAAAGCCAAGCAACAUGCCAAGCCUCUGACUCAUCUUUGCUAGCCACUUCCAAGUUGUCAUUUGGAUGUUGAUUCAUCAACGACAUUUGUUGUAAUUUCUGAGGGUAUUCCAUUGGAAGUUAUGGGGGAGCCAAAGCAGGCCCGGAUAGAUGAUUACGAGGAUUUGCCAAGCAUUCGCUUGGAGAUGUGCAACCAUGAGGUGUUGACUGUGGAGCUGAAGGAACAGAGAUAUAGAGCAGCAAAAUUCGCUUCAGAAAACAUCAAAGGCUUGCGCGAGCUGCUGCUGCAGGUGGACAACACUCUGGAGCACGUAAUCCUGUGUAGCAAUGGCUACCACAAAGUGGAGGGGUUUCUAGAAGCAGCUGUGUCCAAGCUAAGCAGCCUUGGCCUUUUCUGGAGAAAAAUUUGGCGCGUGGCUGAGUCGCAGAUUGGAUCAUGAAGUGAUUCUCAGCUUGGAUGAUGCUAUUGCUGCUGCCAAGCACAAGCGGAUGCCAAUCAAGCUCAAGACGCUUUUUCUAUAUCACUGUGACGUAGAUUUAAAUGCUUUAGCAGGAUCAAUCAACACUUCGAAAGUAUUUAGAACGUCUGGAGCUUUAUAAUUGCCCUUGCUCGCCCAACCUGGAGAAGCUGCUGCAAGAUCCAGCCUGCAAGAUCUGGGAGCUGUCCCUCACUAAGAAUGAAUACUUGACCCCUGCCCUCUUCCAGCCUCGAACAAGUCUACGGAAGCUAACGCUGGACAACAUCCCAAAUGAUCAGGCGCUACUCAGCCAAAUCUGCGGAUCAAUAGAAGGCCUUGGAGUUUAGCCAUGAGGAGAUCUCCCUGCUGGCAGAUUGCAUAAACAACAAUGCCAAGUCCAAGCUCUGGUUCCUGACAUUUGGAUUUAUCUUUCGCGCAGCUCGUGGGCCAGCUGCUGAAGAGCCCAUAUUGCAAGCUUGAAAGUUUCUCCUUGUUACCUGGGGUAAAGGUGAGUGGUUUUUUCAACAUGCUCGUCUUGAUAUUGACACUGAUUUUCUUAAGCAGAAUGAAAGCCUCUCCCCGCGUGAGUACCAGGAGUAUCAAGAUGCGAUUCUCAGCAGUUUGAACAACAGAGACCUCAUGAUUACUUGGUAGUUCGUUCUACUUCGAGGACUUUGGAUUUGGAAAGCCGGUUGGAAUGACGCUGGUUCGUCCUUCUGAGGAUAGCAGGCUAUACUAUUUCCCAGGGAAGGAGGAAGGUGAUGUGGUAGCAUAUGUUGGGCUCACAAGUCACGCGAUGAGAAAGCUUAGUUUUCCACAGGUUUGAAACAAUAUAAAGUUGUCUCUUUGCCCUUCACCGCGGGACGUGGAAAUCAAGGCGAGGAUCUUCGAGACAGAUGUUUCUGAUGGUACCGUUAUUGUUGACAUGCACGGGAAGCUCCAGAUAAUGGAUCGGGCCACCGCGGCUUUUGGCUGGAUCAAAGAGAGGAAUGCUGUCUCCUUGACUGCUAUGUUCCCAGAAUUUGCCCGGAAUGGGCAUUACAGAGACGCUCUCGAGUUCCUCCAUGGAUUUGGAGGGAGUCAAGCCAAAUGGCGUGACAUUUAUUGUCUUUCUGGAAGCCUGCGCCGGUCUCGGGGAUAGAAUCUGCCGUAAAAUUCUUCACUCCCGAAACCGAGGGAAUGGAGCUUGAUUUCUUCGUCAGAAAUGGUGGUCUCGGCUUAUGCGCUGGAGGCUUAUGCGGGCGACAGCACAGGGAGUCUUUUGGGAGCUCGAUCUCGAAAAACACGAGCGCCUUCGAGACGUCCUCAAGUUUGGCCAUGGCUAGAAGCCUCCACUCUCGGAUCCUUGCCAGUGGAACGCGUGAGCGUGAUCGUGGUCGUGACCACUUACAGAAACUCUCAGCCUCGCGAGAUCCACGUUCAAUGGCCUGUGCUGAAACACGAUGAUCUCCGCCUACGUGCAGCACGGCAACGCCAGGAAGGGCUCAAGCUCUUCAACGAGCUCAAGCAAGCCGGGGAGCGGCCAAACAGCAUCACUUUGAGCGGCUGCAUGAUCGAUCUGCUGGGAGGAGCUGAGGGAUUGGAGGAGGCUGAGAGAGAGGCUGCUCCAUGAAACGCAAUGUCCUCUCCUGAUCAUGAACGUCGUCUCUGUGAACUUCAAUCACCAAGUCCUGGAUAAAACCAGGGCAUGGCAUUUCGUAGUUCGAUAUAAGCUGCGGCAAAUCCCCGUCACUUGAGCAGGUGGUUGUGGAAACUCCCCUGGACAACGAGCAGAGCUGGAGAUUUAGCUCCCGCCGAUUUUUCAUGCGGUGGAAGAUUAGACUUUGUUCACAACUUCUCACUAUCAACGCCAUGGAAGGCUUCUCGUUUGCAAAGCAGGUGAUUGGGUUGCCAAGGAGUGAGAUUCCAGAGCUCCUCACGGCAAAGAGAUGGAAGACCCCGUGUUCUUCGCGGUCAACUGCUGUGAAAGCUCUCCAACGCUGGAAACUAUGACUCUUAGUACGCUUUCUCAUGACAUGAGGAGUUGCCACCUCAUAGAACCACGUUGGCUAAAGUUGACGAAGGCAACGAUAUAUCAGAGCCACAUUGUCCA